rnacentral:misc_RNA from 1 species
ACACCGUUGCCGUAGUCGUGGUCGGACGGCAGCGCGAGCGCCUCGUUGUAGUCCUUGGCGCGGACCACCGACAGGACGGGGCCGAAGAUCUCUUCCUUGUAGAUCCGCAUGUCCUUGGUGACGUUGUCGAACAGACAGCCGCCCAUGUAGAAGCCCUUCUCAUAGCCCUGCAUCUUGAAGCCGCGGCCAUCGACCGCGAGCUUGGCGCCUUCCUUGAUGCCGAUCUCGACGUAAUCCUUGACCCGCUCCAGCGCGGCUUUGGUCACCAGCGGGCCGAAGUCGGCGCUUGGAUCGGUCGAGGGGCCGACUCGACGCGCGGAAUGAGUUUCUCCAUCAGGCGGUCCGCCGUGGUCUUGCCUACGGGGACGGCAACCGAGAUCGCCAUGCAGCGUUCG